GGGCCUGUAGCUCAGUUGGUUAGAGCGCUCCGCUCAUAACGGAUCGGUCGCUGGUUCAAAUCCAGCCGGGCCCACCA
rnacentral:tRNA from 2 species